rnacentral:rRNA from 1 species
GAGACUCUGUGCGCGUGCAUAUCAAUAAGCGGAGGAAAAGAAACUAACAAGGAUUCCCCUAGUAACGGCGAGUGAAGCGGGAAGAGCUCAAAUUUGAAAUCUUAAAGGGUUUCCCUUGACGAAUUGUAGUUUAUAGAAGUGUUUUCUGUUGGAGUUUCGGUAAAAGUUCUUUGGAAUAGGACAUCAUAGAGGGUGAGAAUCCCGUAUUUGACCGUUACUUUCCAGCUGUGUGUUACACUUUCAAAGAGUCGGAUUGUUUGGGAAUGCAGUCCAAAAUGGGUGGUAAAUUUCAUCUAAAGCUAAAUAUUGGCGAGAGACCGAUAGCGAACAAGUACCGUGAGGGAAAGAUGAAAAGAACUUUGAAAAGAGAGUUAAACAGUACGUGAAAUUGUCAAAAGGGAAGCGUUUGACACCAGUGUUGUUUAGUUGAAAGUCAAUUCAAUAAUUUUUGAUUUUAAGUAGUAUUGACUUCAUCAGCUUGCUGCUUUCUUUUCGAAAAUUAUUGAAUGCACUUUUCAGUUAACAAGUCAACAUCAAUUUCUUUUGUUGUAAAAGGGUAAGAGGAAGGUGGCUUACGCUUCGGCGUAAGUGUUUAUAGCCUUUUACCUCUGCAAUCGGAGAGAUUGAGGUCAGCAGCGUAGACUCCUUCGGGGGUUAGAUACACUUGUGCUAAGCUAUAGCCUUGUAUAGACAACUUGUUGACUAUGCUCAGUCAUGUAGCUUACUCGCUUGUGCUAUUUUACCUACGCUUAGGAUGUUGAACUCUAUCACACACAG